AGAAUGUAGUUGUUUUAAACUCAAAUAUGCAGUUUAUUUAUAAAGAGAGUGUCUAUUUAAAAAUGUGUUUCGCUGAUUUCGGAGACCAGCUCCAUGCGAUCAGCGGGAGCUCAGUGAUCAUGUAUCUGCCUAGAGCACUCUCAACUUAGCUAGUCCUUCUGACAUUUGCCGCUGGCUCUGUCUCUUUAGUGGUUCAAGAUAAAAUAUAAUUUGUUUGGGGUAAAUCUAAUCUUUGGUCUUUCAAUUAAUCUAUUAAUGUUUUAUAUCAUCAGUGUGAGGCUAUGAGUGGUUACUGUUAAUGUAAUAUGCAUGUAAACAUGGUCAUUAUUGCCUGUACAUCGUAGGGCUGUCAACAAAUAUUCUAAAUUCGAAUAUAUAUUCGAAUAGUUUUUAAAAAAGAAUGAAUUUCGAAGGUGAAAAUUAAUAUUCGAAUUAAAAAAAAAUGUGGAAAAAAACACCCGUGGUAGUAGAGGCGUGGCUGUCUGCUUUGCGAGUGGGCGCGCUAGCGUGCCUGAGGGUUCAGGGACAGGUCAUAGGAGUCGCACUGUCUGGCACAGCGUCACUGCUGAAAGUUGACACGUCUUGCAUGGAAGAUGGCAGAAAGUGCAGAGCCCAACUCGACCGCAGCAGAGAAAGUUAUUUUAACCCCCCAAAAUCUAAAAAGCCAUGUCUGGAAGUACUUUGGAUUUUGGUCGGUAGGAGGUUAACCCGCUGAGAAAACACGGACAGCCCAGACCAGGACAUCAGUCUGCUGCUUCAAAAAGAGAUGUUGAUGUAUGAACAAGAGUCUCCAAUAACCUGCUCAACAAAAUCCCCUCAUGUGGUGGAAAACUUUGGGCUCUGGGAGAUACCCUCACGUCGCCCAGAUGGCAAAGAAAUAUCUUUCCAUCCUCGGAUCCUCAGUGCGCUCUGAACGCGUCUUUUCCUCUGCUGGGAAUAUAGUAAAUAAAAAGCGAUCAGCACUGGCCCCUUCAAAUGUGGACUAUCUUGUGUUUUUGACAAAUAACCUGUAACCUGUAUAAAAUGCAGUCAGUUUUUUCCCCCCUUUUUUUUAUACAAGCACCAAGAAUGAAUUGUCUGGAGCGCAGCCUGUAGAGCUUCAUUGAAUAUAAUGGAACUUUGUGAGAUCACAAUGAACUAAGAUGAGUGACCACUUUUUAGUGAUUAUAAAUAGAGGGCUCUUUGCAUGCUUUCUAGGCUAUAGUCCAUUCAGAAUCUCAGAUUCACUCCCAGAUACACUCCUCGAUACAAUUCUCCAAUACCCAUUUAUCCAAUACUGUCACUUACCAUUGUUUCAUUUACUACUUCAGUUAACUAAGGGAAAGUGGAGCUGGUGCGUGCUUAACUUGACUUAUCAAGUAUGUGUAGAAUAUUGUUUUUAAUAAUGCAGCAAACUUAAACAAAA